UAAUUAGAAUGGUUAAGGUGCACGUUGAAGAACUAGAAUUGUCAUUGAUCAUGUUGACUGUUGUUGUGGUUCUUGUGCAUAUCUCCCACAACACUGUAGAAGCUAUACAUACUUGGCACAUUACCUGCAAAUUUGAUUUAAUUAUUAGAAUUUUAGCAGGAGGGAAUUGUUGGUGCUCAGCUGGUGAGGUGCUAAUUACCAAAAGAAC
rnacentral:lncRNA from 1 species